rnacentral:rRNA from 1 species
AAUCAACGCUGGCGGCGUGCCUAACACAUGCAAGUCGAGCGAGAAAGUGGGGGCAACCCCAUGAGUACAGCGGCGACCGGGUGAGUAACACGUGACUAACCUACCCUUGAGUGGGGAAUAACUCCGGGAAACCGGAGCUAAUACCGCAUAACACCGCAAGGUCAAAGGAGCAAUUCGCUUAAGGAGGGGGUCGCGGUUGAUUAGCUAGUUGGUGGGGUAAUGGCCCACCAAGGCGAUGAUCAANAGCCGGCCUGAGAGGGCGCACGGCCACACUGGAACUGAAACACGGUCCAGACUCCUACGGGAGGCAGCAGUGGGGAAUUUUGCGCAAUGGGGGAAACCCUGACGCAGCAACGCCGCGUGAAGGAU